rnacentral:lncRNA from 1 species
AGACCGAGGGGAGACAAAGUUGAGGCAGCGCGAGGGGGCUUCCGAGCUCAGCCCUCCGCACUUAAAGGAAAGACCCCCGGAGCUGCAGCCCAGAAGCUGCCGCUGACCUCGCCAUGCGGCUCUCUGACCUGAGACCCUGGGCCGCCCUACUGCUGGCGGACUCGGCCUUACUCUGGCUGCUCCAGGGACCUCUGGAGGCUCUGCUUCCCCGAGGGCUUCCAGGCCUGUGGCUGGAGGGCACCUUGCAACUUGGAGGGCUUUGGUGGCUGCUGAGGCUGGGAGGGCUGCUGGGAUAUGCGCGGACNCCCCCCCCCCCCCCCCCCCCGCUCCCCGCCCCGUCUGGUGAUCCCUCUGUUUUCCUGAGGGUUCUGGUCUCAGGAACCUUGAAUGUGCCCCCAGCAGAGUGGCUUCAGUCCCUUGGUGCUGCUGCUGCUGGGGUCCGGGGCUGCAGGGCUCAGCUGGGAAGUGUGGGCUGUGCAAACUGUGCAGUUUGCUGGAUUAGGAGCAAGAUGUCUGCUUGUAUAAGGAGGCUCUCAAAUGAUGCUGGCACCUGUGGUGGCCAGGAGACCUGGAACAGGCCCUCUGCCUGCUCUUAAGGAGGGUGAGGAAGCUGGGGGAAGGGCGGGGGCAAGGGAGGGGGAGGGAAAGCAGGGGUUCUGGUCCUCCAGCUGCUCCUGGGGUCCUUGCCGCUUACUGGCAGGGAGGGCAGGAAUGAAAGAUUCUCAGGUCCCCUUUUCUUCUCCCUCUAGAUGCUGCACUUGACAAUGAAGGUGCUGUUGCUGAGCUGUGGGCUGCAGCAGGUCCUGGCUGGGACGUCACCCAGGGCGGGCUGCUGUCCUUUCUGCUCUACCAGGAGAACCUGGGCUCCUACAAGCAAUGCAACCGGAGGUGACAGUGCAUCCGGAGAGGACCCCGUCCCUGCAGCUCCGCAACCUGCUGCUUUGCUCUGUGACAGGGUUCUACCCAGGGGCCAUCGAGAUCAGGUGGUUCCGGAACGGGCAGGAGCAGAGAGAGGGGGUCCUGGCCACUGGCCUCGUCAGGAAUGGAGACUGGACCUUUCAGACAGUGGUGAUGCUGGAAAUGACUCCUGAGCUUGGGGACGUCUACACCAGCCUGCUGAGCCCCGUUUCUGUGGAGUGGAUUGAUUUACAAUGUUCCAUCAAGUUCUGUGAGAAGUUUCUUAAAACCUUUGGAUAUCUUCUGUGGAUUUUUCGUGAUGCGUUCCAUCAGACUGAAGCCACAUCUAAAAGGACACAUCUGUCCUUUUAGCGACAAUCACUUCUCUGAGUUGGCCCUGCCGGGAUGACUGAGAGGAUUGGCGAGCCGCACGUUUCAUCUCUUGAGAAGGCUCUUUGCAUGACUGAAUUCUCUAACUACUUGAUGUGGAGUGUGGCAUUUCUUCCUAGAGGAUGGGAAACCAGCUCGGCCAGCUCUCAUUGCCCUGACUAGUCCUUUCACAUUUCCAGAAUAUGUUGAAAUCAGAGAUGUGGUUUUGGAUGUUUGGGAAGCAAAGAAGCAUAAAAUGGAGCAGAAGGUAAAGCCAGCUUUUGCCUGAAGAUGGAGUUCAGUCUUUUUACAUGUUUUAGCAGGUAAGAGAUUGCUCCUAUAAAAUCGUGUGCUUUAAAAGAAAAUCAUCACCGCCAUCACUCAUGUGCAAGCCACUAUCCUUUUUCACAUUGAGUUUCCAUUAUUCUCUGCUGUUGUCCAAUGCAUUCUUGAUACUUCAGUAAGAGUGAUAUUUUACUUUAUAAUAUACGUUUGAAAAGUAUCACUGGGGGUGUGGGAUGGAAAUCCUAUAAAACUGGAUUGUGAUUGUCAUUGUACAACUAUAAAUAUAAUAAAUUCAUUGAGUAAUAAAAAAAGUAUCAGAAGGAGGAGUUCCCAUUGUAGCUCAGCAGGUUUAAAGACCAGACGUUGUCUCUGUGAGAAUGUGGGUUCGAUCCCUGACCUUGCUCAGUGGGUUAAGGAUCUGGCAUAGCCUGCAGAUUUGGCUUGGAUCUGGUGUUGGUGUGUCUGUGGCAUAGGCCCCAGUUGCAGCUCUGAUUUGACCCCUGGCCCUGGGACUUCCGUAUGCUGCAGGUGCAGCCUUAAAAAGAAAAAAAAAUUAUCAGAAGGAUACAUGCAUGUAGUUCAAAAUAAACAGUCGUGAUAUAUUUAAUAAAGUAGGAACCCUUCAUGCCUUCUCUUUACGCCAAUGGAACAUACACACAAAGAAAAUAUCUAUAUAUUCCUGUUUUAUUGAAUGAUUUUAAUAUGAAUGGACUCGGAUUUAUGUCAAAUGAUUGUUUUAGAGGAGCAGUAAUCUAAGGAUCAAUGAAUUUGUAAGAAUUAGAAUCAUACAAAGUUUGGGCACUGACCAAAAUGAAGUUAAAUUUGAAAUCAAUGUAUAAACACAUAAUCAGAUAUCUGUAAACUAAAACACACUUCUUUUGAAUAAAACAUGGGUCCAGGAGUUCCCAUUGUGGCUCAGUGGUUAACAAACCCAACUAGUAUCCAUGGGUACGUGGGUUCAACUCCUGGUCUUGCUCAGUGGUUUGGGGAUCCUGCGUUUGCCGUGAGCUGUGAUGUAGGCUGGCAGCUGUAACUCCAGUUUGACCCUUAGCCUGGAAACCUCCAUAUGCCAUGGGUGCGGCCCUAAAAAGACAAAAGACCAAAAAAAAAAAGUCCAUUGACUCUUUUUUAUUAUAUGACUUCACAGAAGUUUUGUAAUUCCUCAUGAUUCUACAGAUUUCUCGAUAUGUUUAUUUUAUGCUGUAUUUCCCCCUAAUUGCAGCUCUGUGCUUCUUCUUGGCCUUCUUAGGGAUUUGUCUGCUAGAGACAAGUGAUGCUGCCUCACAUCUACUCCUCAUUGGCUGGAGAGAAAACCAUUAUAUCCUUAAAAAUAGCUCUGCAAAAUCUCUUUGCCGUCAUUGUCUUUAUUUGAGUGUUAGAGUUGAGCGUCAGCAUUAAAAGUCAGAGUUUUGGGGAAGGGAAGUAGCUGUAGGAAGCCACUUAGUACGUAAGCGUACCUUCCAUCUUCCAGGGCACCCUGCUCUUGCCUCGACACAGUUGCUCUAACAUCAAAGGGAGGUGAUAGGAUCAGCAGUGGGAGGAGGGGACAGAGUCACAAUUAGAUCAUGAAUCUUAAACCAGUGGUGGCUCAGCACUAACAGGUAUUCAAGAAGUAAUUAACUAUAAAUGUUAGCAGCUUAACGUGUUUGCCUCUUGGGAAAUCCAGGGGAUAGGUCUUGUGUGAAGGGGUCAAAUAAACAUCAGAGUCAAAUAAACAUCAUUUGUAACCCAGCUGUGGCUCUGGUCCUGGCUCUAUUCAAUGAAAAUGAUUGAUGACUCCAGAUCCGUUGGUGAGUAGCUGAUCCUCACAGCUUCUGGGUCAACCAAAAGGUUCCAGGGUGUAUUAGCGGAUAAGAAGGAAAUAAGGCUGAGGGUUUGGGAAAUGUACCCAAAUGCCUCCCAAUUGUCUGGGAGCAAAGCCAUUUUUUAAGGUGUCUAAGAGAGAGGUACAACUCUAGUAUAAAAUGAUUGCGGGUCCAAUCCUUAUUUCUUUCCUUUAUCCCAUCCAAUAUUAAAAAGGAUACUUGGCACAGGGAACUAUAUCUGAUCACCUGUGAUAGAACAUGAUAGAAGAGAUGAUAUGAGAAAAAGAAUGUACACAUAUGUAUGACUGGGUCACUUUGCUGUGCAGCAGAAAUCGACAGAACAUUGUAAAUCAACUAGAAUAAAAAAUUAAAAACUAUUUAGUUUCUCUGUCCUAUGUUUUUGGAACUAUUGUUCUUGUUCCAAUCCAUGGGUUACCUUUUCAGUCAGGCCAAUGAGGAGGUGCAGGCAGAUUUUCAAGUAGCCCUCCAGCCACAAUAAUGUAUUGCUGUUAUAUUAGUCUGUUUUUAUUACUGAGCCUUUUACAUGCCAUGUAGCUUUUUAGGCACGUUCUGAAUACCGGCUCAUGGAGUCCUCACAGCAAUCCUUUGAGGAAGUACUGUGAGGAUGAGCAUCCACAGUUAUGGAUGAGGAAACUGGCACAGAGGAGUUUAAGAGCUUGUGUGAUGGUACAACCCUGGAAAAUUGUAAGACCCCAAUUCAAUAUGGGCAGAAGAUAACUGCUGCCAGAGGGACCUGCUUAACUACUAUGCGACACUGCCUUUCAUAGCCGGGGACCCACUUCUGUUAUUCAGAUGAGAUGGUUGAAUAUGGUCUGCCCAGAACUUCUUUCAUGUUACGUCAUAUCAAAGACCGGUACUGUCUUGGAAGCUGGAAAUUGGCAGUCUUUUUUUUUUUUUUNUUUUUUUUUUUUUUUUUUUUUUUUUUUGCCUUUUAGGGCCAAACUCAAGGCUUAUGGAAGUUCCCCGGCUAGGUGUUGAAUUGAAUCGGAGCUAGAGCUGCCGGCCUACACCACAGCCACAGCAACGUGGGAUACAAGCCUCAUCCGUGACCUACACCCCGGCUCACGCGGCAACUCCGGAUCCCCAACGGAGGCCAGGGGUUGAAUCCUCACCCUCUCGGCUACUAGUCAGAUUCAUUUCUGCUGUGCCACAGUGGGAACGCCUGAAAUGUGUACUCUUGUUGCUGACUCAGCUCUUUUCCAUCAGGUCCCUUGAGGGGCAAGUUCUGGGUGGACAUUUCUAUGUUCUCAGUACUUGUAAUCCCUGGUAUCUAUUAAGUAGGUGCCUAAUAAAUUAAAAUAAAUUCUUUAUAGACAAACACACACAUAUAGGCAUGAAUGUGUGACUGUAUUCCAUACAGAACCUGCACAGAUCAGAAGCCUGAAACUAUCUUUAUCUUAUGUGGGAAUUGACACCCUUUGUGGUCAGGAAAGCUGGUCUUCUCACACCAAGGUCAAGUGUGGCUGUAGGAGGCGGAGCCUGCAGGUGCAGCAGCGUGUGGAGGCUACUUCUGACGCCCCUCUUCUCCCGAGGAAGAGAGUGUCCUAUCCCAGUCGGCGUU